ACGUACAGGAAGUACGUUCCGGUUCCUGCGCGCCGUCCGCCUAGCCUGACGGCGGCUCGCUACGAGAACUCUCAGCC
rnacentral:sRNA from 1 species